rnacentral:antisense_RNA from 1 species
AGGGUGAAUCUACAUGAUAGAGUGGAAGCCACAAGGGAAGAAGAAGAAGAGAUUCUAUCUGGGUGUGGAGAAUGAAAAAAAAAAAAAGGUGUAAAGAGGGGUCUGGCUCUGUCAUCCAGGCUGGAGUGCAGUGACUCAAUCAUGGCUCACUGCAGCCUUAACUUCCGGACCUCAGGUGAUUCUCCCACCUCAGCCUGUCAAGUAGCUGGGACUACAG